rnacentral:rRNA from 1 species
UAAGCGGAGGAAAAGAAACUAACAAGGAUUUCCCUAGUAACGGCGAGUGAAGCGGGAAGAGCUCAAAUUUGAAAUCUGGUAGCCUUCGGUUGCCCGAGUUGUAAUCUAGAGAAGUGUUUUCCGCGUUGGCCCAUGUACAAGUCCCUUGGAACAGGGCGUCAUAGAGGGUGAGAAUCCCGUCCUUGACAUGGACCCCCAAUGCUUUGUGAUACACUUUCAACGAGUCGAGUUGUUUGGGAAUGCAGCUCAAAAUGGGUGGUGAAUUCCAUCUAAAGCUAAAUAUUGGCGAGAGACCGAUAGCGAACAAGUACCGUGAGGGAAAGAUGAAAAGCACUUUGGAAAGAGAGUUAAACAGUACGUGAAAUUGUUGAAAGGGAAACGAUUGAAGUCAGUCAUGCUCUUUGGAUUAAGCCGUUCUGCGGUGUAUUUCAUUGAGCGGGGUCAACAUCAGUUUUGAUCGCUGGAAAAGGGCAGGAGGAAGGUAGCACUCUCGGGUGAACUUAUAGCCUCUUGUCGUAUACAGUGAUUGGGACUGAGGAACGCAGCAUGCCUUUUGGCCGGGAUUCGUCCACGUACAUGCUUAGGAUGUUGACAUAAUGGCUUUAAACGACCCGUCUUGAAACACG